rnacentral:rRNA from 1 species
AGUGAACGCUGGCGGUAGGCCUAACACAUGCAAGUCGAACGGCAGCACGGUAAGAGCUUGCUCUUACGGGUGGCGAGUGGCGGACGGGUGAGGAAUACAUCGGAAUCUACUUUUUCGUGGGGGAUAACGUAGGGAAACUUACGCUAAUACCGCAUACGACCUACGGGUGAAAGCAGGGGAUCUUCGGACCUUGCGCGAUUGAAUGGGCCGAUGUCGGAUUAGCUAGUUGGCGGGGUAAAGGCCCACCAAGGCGACGAUCCGUAGCUGGUCUGAGAGGAUGAUCAGCCACACUGGAACUGAGACACGGUCCAGACUCCUACGGGAGGCAGCAGUGGGGAAUAUUGGACAAUGGGCGCAAGCCUGAUCCAGCCAUACCGCGUGGGUGAAGAAGGCCUUCGGGUUGUAAAGCCCUUUUGUUGGGAAAGAAAAGCAGCAGGUUAAUACCCCGCUGUUCUGACGGUACCCAAAGAAUAAGCACCGGCUAACUUCGUG